rnacentral:rRNA from 1 species
UCGGGAAUUUUGGGCAAUGGGCGAAAGCCUGAUCCAGCCAUGCCGCGUGUGUGAAGAAGGUCUUCGGAUUGUAAAGCACUUUAAGUUGGGAGGAAGGGCAGUAACCUAAUACGUUGCUGUCUUGACGUUACCGACAGAAUAAGCACCGGCUAACUCUGUGCCAGCAGCCGCGGUAAUACAGAGGGUGCAAGCGUUAAUCGGAAUUACUGGGCGUAAAGCGCGCGUAGGUGGUUUGUUAAGUUGGAUGUGAAAUCCCCGGGCUCAACCUGGGAACUGCAUUCAAAACUGACAAGCUAGAGUAUGGUAGAGGGUGGUGGAAUUUCCUGUGUAGCGGUGAAAUGCGUAGAUAUAGGAAGGAACACCAGUGGCGAAGGCGACCACCUGGACUGAUACUGACACUGAGGCGCGAAAGCAAGGGGAUCAAACAGGAUUAGAUACCCCAGUAGUCCCUGAGCGGGCUGGCAAGGCGCAU